rnacentral:rRNA from 1 species
UACGAAGGGGGCUAGCGUUGCUCGGAAUCACUGGGCGUAAAGCGCACGUAGGCGGCUUUUUAAGUCAGGGGUGAAAUCCUGGAGCUCAACUCCAGAACUGCCUUUGAUACUGAGAAGCUUGAGUCCGGGAGAGGUGAGUGGAACUGCGAGCGUAGAGGUGAAAUUCGUAGAUAUUCGCAAGAACACCAGUGGCGAAGGCGGCUCACUGGCCCGGUACUGACGCUGAGGUGCGAAAGCGUGGGGAGCAAACAGG